rnacentral:pre_miRNA from 1 species
CAACCUCCACAGGCUGGCCGGCCUCCAGGCUGGGCUGGGCAAGUAUUUCUUUGAAAGGCUCACUCUCAAGCAGGACGAGGAGC